UACGGAGGGUGCGAGCGUUGUCCGGAAUCACUGGGCGUAAAGGGCGCGUAGGCGGCCCGACAAGCGUGGGGUGAAAGUCCGGGGCUCAACCCCGGAUCGGCCUCGCGAACUGUCGGGCUGGAGCACUGUAGGGGCGGGUGGAAUUCCGGGUGUAGCGGUGGAAUGCGUAGAGAUGUGGAGGAACACCGAUGGCGAAGGCAGCCUCCUGGGCCAACACUGACGCUCAUGCACGAAAGCGUGGGGAGCAAACAGG
rnacentral:rRNA from 1 species